AUUGAACGCUGGCGGCAGGCCUAACACAUGCAAGUAGAACGAGUGGCGGACGGGUGAGUAAUGUAUGGGAAACUGCCCGAUGGAGGGGGAUAACUACUGGAAACGGUAGCUAAUACCGCAUACCAUCGGAUGUGCCCAGAUGGGAUUAGCUAGUAGGCGGGGUAACGGCUCACCUAGGCGACGAUCACUAGCUGGUCUGAGAGGAUGACCAUCCACACUGGAACUGAGACACGGUCCAGACUCCUACGGGAGGCAGCAGUGGGGAAUAUUGCACAACGGGCGCCAGCCUGAUGCAGCCAUGCCGCGUGUAUGAAGAAGGCCUUCGGGUUGUACAGUACUUUCAGCGUGGAGGCGUUACCCGCAGAAGAAGCACCGGCUAACUCCGUGCCAGCAGCCGCGGUAAUUC
rnacentral:rRNA from 1 species